rnacentral:lncRNA from 1 species
UUAGCAUUAGAAUUUUUGGACGCCCCAUGUGGUGUGGCAUGUCAGUGGUGUGGCACCCCUCCUAAGAUCCUAAUUCCUUCUUCCCUAUAAAAGGAGUCCAAAGGUUUGAUGCCCAAAUAUAUAGAAGAGAAAAUAGUUUUCAAAAGCCGAGCCUCAUCUCUCUUCCUCUUCCCUACUCCUCCUGUUCUUCUUUCCAUUCUUCUUUGUUCUCAAGAGGGUCUAUGAGAUUUGAGAAGAAGAUACUUCAGCCAUCAAAGAGGAGAUCUCUGCAAGAAAGCUAGCAUUCUGGAGAGAUCACCUGCCUC